CAGGAUGAGCUGGAAGAACUGGAAGGAGCAGAGUUGGAAAAUCAACUACUUGAGCCUAUACCUUACCAUCAGGUUCACUUUUUGAUUUUGUGGGUCAGAUCAUCAAGAGCAGCAAUUAGCGAACUGAAUUACCACAACACUUGUGUGCUCACCUCACUCGUCUCUUUAAGCCCUGCACUCUAGCUUAAGACCCUCCAGCUUGAGACCCAAAGUAGUACCAGCAGUCACAGAUGAUCGGUGUUCCACCACGUGAUAUUGUCAGUGCAUCCAAAAGUUCAAUUUGCAUUUAUCUAUGGUGAUAAAUGUCUGGUAGAUUUUCAUGUUCUGGUGUUUUACGCCGCUGCAGCAGGACAUCUCGGAGGCGUGUCUCCAAUUGCAAGUUGUCUGCUAGAAGUUCCUAUUCUGGUGUGAAGAAUUGAAUGCACAAGGAUACCAUGUACCAUUUCCAUGUUCACCUAUGAU